AGUGGGCUUUGGGCUAUGGGCCUUCAAUAAGUUUCUUCAACAGAUGUAAUAAAUUGAUAAAAUAUAGUUAAAAUCAGAUUUUGUUGGAUUAGUUAAUUAAUUAAUUAAUCUUAGUUUAAUUUAAUUUUUUUUAAUUCGAUGAAACAAAGCGUAAUGUGUAGUGCCUCACAAAACCCAUAUACUUAUUCGGAAUUUCGGAUACGCUCACAGAAGAACACAUUUGAUUCCCAUUCAGUUCAGCAAUUCAAUGAAGAUCCUGUUCAGCGACGAAGAUUUUAAUUUCCAGAACAAGGCCGAUGAUUUCAUCAUUUUAUUACAACGAUUAGCUGUUGGUGAACAGGUCACAUCAGUUUGCCAAUGUCGAUAUCGACUCCGGGAAUUUACUGUAGUUCACAACAUCAUCAAGUCAGUCAAAAACAGGUCAGUAAACACUGGAUGUGGGAUUUAAUUAAAAGUUUCCCUCCAUUUGGUUUUAAAAAGAAAAAGGAGAGAGAGAAAACAAUGUGAAUGAUGCAGUUACUUUGUUUGAAAGGAAAAUGCAAAGGAAAAUUUUAAUUCUCAUUGAUUUCAAUCUCUUUCCUUUUCUUUCAAUUAUGGAUUCAAUAUGACAUUUAAUUCUCUUACCAGCAAGCAAAUUAGACAGUAUUGUAUGUACUGUACAUAGCACAAGUCAAAAGAAUAUUCUUCCCAAACGGUAAGUAGGAUAAUAGCUGGUGCAAAUCUUGGUACAACUCCAUAAUUACCUGACAUGGACAAAGAAUUACAGAGGCAAUAUGCCAACACUUAGUUGCCAUAUUUACCUUACGCGACAGCAAAAACAUGCCUUUCCUGCAUAUUUUUUUCCCAUACGCCCACUGUUUUCCGAUAUGCUGCUCGAAAUCUUGAUUUUGUAACUGACCCGGGACUUGUAUAAAUACAGGAGAACCAAAUAGUACACAACACACACACAAAUACUCAUAACAAGUGUAUAUUAGAUAAUAUAUACUUGUUCUUGUUUUUCUUUUCUUUUGUGUUUUUGCUUUGUGUGUUUGAGAGAAUACUAGGUUGUCUGGAAUGGCAUUGUCAAAUGAAGAAUCGUGCUACGAUAUAAACACACACAUCUCGUUGCCAGAAGAUCUGAUUAACAAGUUGAAGAAUGCAAAGACUUGGGAGGAGUGGCCAUCUCAGUGGACCUUCGACGAAGAAAGGAUGAGUCUGGCAUGGCUAUGGCCUCAUUCCAUGAACGAUGACAAGAUCCACAAUGCCAAUAAUGGUGCUGAAUUGGUCUCUCCAAACAACGAACAGAAGUAGAUUUUACGACGUAAUUGGAAAAAAAUAAAAAAAGGGUUCAUUUUUUAUUCUUUGCAAUUUGUAAUCAUUAAGUAUUUUUACUAGCAUUUUUUUUUUCUUUUUCUUUUUUUUUUUAAUGUUUAGAAUGGUUGUUACUUUGGUGUUUGUUUGUUUCUUGAUAUGAUAUAUCAUCUUUUGAGUCC